rnacentral:lncRNA from 1 species
GGAAGGCGAGGUCCGGGCUGCAUGCAGAGCUGAGAGCUGAGGACUCCCAUCUCCAGCCUGCCCGGGUGAAGCGCGCCUGGAGGGACCUCUCGGUGAUCCCCGGCCGACCCCUCCCCAGCACUCAGCCCAAGAACCAGCCUCAACCACCUCCCUUCCCAGCUCAGCCUCACCUGCUGCCCAACCUGCAAUACCUCCUCCCAUCUCCCAUCCUCAGACAGCCCAUCCCUCCUGCAAGGUCCAGUCCGAAGUCGUCACCUCCCCCAGGAGGCCCACCCGUCCUCCUCAGCCCAGCCUGACUCUCAGGAUCAGGCUCACCCUGCGGAGGCUGAAGCCACCAAGUCAUAGUCCCAGUCCCAAGGGGAAGACAGGCCUGGAGCAGGGAGAGGUGUGGGCAAGAACACAGCCUCCGUCCCACAAAGAGGAGUUCAAACCCCCGCUCCAGC